rnacentral:misc_RNA from 1 species
GAUGAAGAACGUAGCGAAAUGCGAUAAGUAGUGUGAAUUGCAGAAUUCAGUGAAUCAUCGAAUCUUUGAACGCACAUUGCGCCCCUUGGUAUUCCAUGGGGCAUGCCUGUUCGAGCGUCAUUUGUACCUUCAAGCUCUGCUUGGUGUUGGGUGUUUGUCUCGCCUCUGCGUGUAGACUCGCCUCAAAACAAUUGGCAGCCGGCGUAUUGAUUUCGGAGCGCUGUACAUCUCGCGCUUUGCACUCAUAACGACGACGUCCAAAAGUACAUUUUUACACUCUUGACCUCGGAUCAGGUAGGGAUACCCGCUGAACUUAAGCAUAUCAAUAAGCGGAGGA